AAAAAAAAAAAAGGUACCCAUCCUUGGGACAAGAGCUUGGACCCUUGUCCUGCCCAGUGGUGUGGAUUUGCAUCUUACCUCUUGCUGGCCAGUUCAGGGUCCACCUCCUGUUUCCCAGUUUGUCAGUGUGACUGUGGAACAGCCUCUUGCAUGGGCAAGGCAAGAUGAUGGCCAUCCAUGCACUGGACACAGCAGACUAGCACCCGGUGCACUAGACUGAAUGUAGCCCCUACUCAUAGAUGGAACACUAACUCCCCCAUUCAGUGGUAUUAGGAGGUUGGGGAUCUCAAAGGUGCUCUCAUAAUGAUUGUAGCGUUCUCAUGAAUGGGAUCAGCGGCUGUAUGAAAGAGGUCCAAGAGCGCUCCCAUCCCUUCCAGUGAGAACCAUGGAUGAAGAAUGUCAACAGUGAAGUGGGGAGCAGACACUAGGAUGAAACCCCCACAACCUCGGCGUUGGACUUCCUGGCCUCCAGAACUUGUAUCUGUGUUAAUUCACAGGAAGAGGAUGAAGUUCUAUUGUGUUGACACAGGAGGUUCAACAGCACUGGGAACAGUCCCUGGUGCCAUCCUGGUAUUUGUGUGUGCAGCAGAAAGCCGGAAGUGGUUCCACCUGAUCCCCUCUGUCCCACAUCUCCCCUGUGGGAGGGGUCAUUGCUCAGUGAGGGGGGAAAGCCAGUGGGUGGAAGAUGUGAGCCACUGACUUCAUCACACGUGGUGUGGUCCCUCCUAAGUAGAACCUAGAUCUCCUGCACUUCCUCAGCCCAUGCACCAUUACCCACAUCUUACUGCAUGUGUAAACCCUUCCCCAACAUCUUUGGACACACCUCUGGAAACAGACUCCGAUCUGGAAGCUGAGUGGCUUGCCCAAGAAAGUGAGAUGGGAAUAGUGGCUCUCACUUCCUGGGUCCUUGAAGAUGCAGAGGCAGGCGAACAGCUUUGGGUGCCUGUCACAUACUAGUUUGUUCGUUUGUUGAGACAAUAUCCUAUUCUAGCCCAGGCUGGCCUGGAAUUCAUAGAAAUCCUCCCGCCUCAGCCUCCCAAAUGCUAGGAUGACAGACAUGAGCCACAACAUCUAGCUGGUGCCCAUCAAAUUCUGCGGACCAUCUCAUCUCCUCUGUGCCUGAGGUGGCUCUGAUGCAGAAUAAGGUGGUAUCGGGCUAAGUGAGAUGUCUGUGAUGGACUCACUAGGGUGCCACCCAUAGUUCCCACUCGUUGCACGGAGAAGCUGGAACUUGGACACGAGAACUAGAUUCUCUAACAGCUAUGUCUCUGCACAGAAAGUCAGCAUCUGGUUGUGUCCCAGUGACUCCCGGUCUGAAUCCUAAUUACCCUAGGAGAAACAUUUAGCUUCCUACUCUAGCUCUUCAGCCCCCUCCUUGAAACUCUGUGUUCUCCUCCUACUUCUCUGAGACAGAGCGGGUCUUUUAUUGGCCCCAGGGACUAAUGAUUCUGCAAGCUAGUCCCUGGGAUCUGCCUGUCUCUGCCCCACCCUUCCCCAGAGCUGGGAUUAUAAAUGCACACCAUCAUACCAGCUUUUUGUUUGUUUUGUUUUGUUUUUUCGAGACAGGGUUUCUCUGUGUAGCACUGACUGAUUGGCUGUCCUGGAACUCUUUCUGUUAGACCGGGCUGGCCUCGAACUCACAGAGAUCCACCUGCCUCUGCCUCCUGAAUACUGGGAUUAAAGCUGUGUACUGCCACCUGGAUUUUUUUUUUUUUUACAACAAACUAAAACAUGGGUUCUGAGGAUUGAACUUGAGUCCUCAAGCUUGCACAACUGGCAUUUUACCAACUGACCUAUCUCACCAACCUGUGUUCUUUCUUUGUAAGAGAAUAAACCGGGCUCGAGAUCUUGUGCACU
rnacentral:lncRNA from 1 species